GAUGAACGCUGGCGGCGUGCCUAAUACAUGCAAGUCGAGCGAACAGACGAGGAGCUUGCUCCUCUGACGUUAGCGGCGGACGGGUGAGUAACACGUGGAUAACCUACCUAUAAGACUGGGAUAACUUCGGGAAACCGGAGCUAAUACCGGAUAAUAUAUUGAACCGCAUGGUUCAAUAGUGAAAGACGGUUUUGCUGUCACUUAUAGAUGGAUCCGCGCCGCAUUAGCUAGUUGGUAAGGUAACGGCUUACCAAGGCAACGAUGCGUAGCCGACCUGAGAGGGUGAUCGGCCACACUGGAACUGAGACACGGUCCAGACUCCUACGGGAGGCAGCAGUAGGGAAUCUUCCGCAAUGGGCGAAAGCAUGACGGAGCAACGCCGCGUGAGUGAUGAAGGUCUUCGGAUCGUAAAACUCUGUUAUUAGGGAAGAACAAAUGUGUAAGUAAAUAUGCACGUCUUGACGGUACCUAAUCAGAAAGCCACGGCUAACUACGUG
rnacentral:rRNA from 1 species